rnacentral:lncRNA from 1 species
GUCUGUUCUACAAGGAACAGGGUGAGCUGCUUGGGUUGUUUUUAUUUUUUUUGUUGUAAAUGUCCUUGUAAAUUUGGUUGAUUUUUGCAGAGUCCCAAGCUUUGUGGGUACUAUAGAUUCGAGAGGGAUUAUUUUCAGGAUUUGAAGGACAAGGGCAUCAUACUAGUUUAGCCGUGAAACUGGGCAGAGUUGAUGAUGGAGGAGCAGAAAGUUUAUUCACUUAUUUGGCAAAUGUACAUGUUUGUUCAUGUGUUGUUUGUUUUGUGGUUGGUGUGUACUGACAUGUGGUUUCAGGAUCUGAACAUAGGGCAUUCAGAUGAAGGACGCCGGCUGCAGAUGAAGGACGCCGGCUGCAGAUGAAGGACCAAAUUGUGGACAGUCUUGUUUUGAUGUUCUGGCCCUGAAGAUCCAGCU